rnacentral:hammerhead_ribozyme from 1 species
AUCCAGUUGAUCAGUCCCAAAUAGGACGAGACGCGCUUCAAACUGUAU